rnacentral:misc_RNA from 1 species
CCCGCGUUAAUAAUUGAACGCUCACAUUCUCUCCCGGCUUCUUCUCUCUUUCACACAUUUACACAAGUACUGGUAAUACCUUUCAAUAGAGAGGGAGAAGGAGAUAACAGAGGAAUCAAGAUCCAAAAAAAUGGGGUCUCUUCCACCACCAUAUCGGGAAUUCUUUAAUAACUCCUCCUCAAAGCAAGAUUCAAUUGACCCAGAUCAGCUUCUUAAGCUCUUCAAAGCCCAGCAGAAUUAUCUCAAUCAUUUCUUUCAAAAUCUUGAUCUUUCUCAAACUCUUAAUUUUACCCAAACUCUACUUAAUGCCAAAGGUUCCAUUUACUUUACUGGUGUGGGGAAAUCUGGGUUUGUUUCCCAGAAAAUAUCACAGACCCUUGUUUCUCUCGGUAUUAAAUCUGGGUUUUUAUCCCCUGUUGAUGCCCUUCAUGGAGACAUUGGCAUUUUGGAUCCGCAAGAUGUUUUGGUUAUGUUUAGCAAGAGUGGGAAUACGGAAGAAUUGUUAAAGCUUGUGCCUUGUGCAAAGGCGAAACGGGUCUUUUUGAUUUCGGUUACUUCGGUAAAGCCUAAUUCUUUGAUGGGUGUGUGUGAUCUGAAUGUGCAUUUGCCUUUAGAGAGAGAAUUGUGCCCUUUUGAUUUGGCACCUGUGACGUCUACCGCUAUUCAGAUGGUUUUUGGAGAUACGGUGGCGAUUGCUUUAAUGGCGGCGAGGAAUUUGAGCCGGGAGGAGUAUGCUGCCAACCACCCUGCUGGGAGGAUCGGGAAAAGUUUGAUCUUCAAGGUUAGAGAUGUGAUGAAGAAGAAAGAAGAUCUUCCAAUUUGCAAGGAAGGAGAUCUUAUUAUGGAUCAACUUGUAGAGCUGACAAGCAAAGGAUGCGGGUGCCUCCUUGUUAUUGAUGAGGAGUUUCAUCUGCUAGGCACAUUCACCGAUGGUGAUUUACGUCGGACAUUGAAAGCCAGCGGGGAAGGAAUCUUCAAGCUUACAGUUGGAGAAAUGUGUAACAGGAAACCAAGGACAAUUGGUCCAGAUGCUAUGGCAGCUGAUGCAAUGCAGAAGAUGGAAUCUCCACCAUCUC